rnacentral:rRNA from 1 species
GUAGGGAAUCUUCCGCAAUGGGCGAAAGCCUGACGGAGCAACGCCGCGUGAGUGAUGAAGGUUUUCGGAUCGUAAAGCUCUGUUGCCAGGGAAGAACGUCCGGUAGAGUAACUGCUACCGGAGUGACGGUACCUGAGAAGAAAGCCCCGGCUAACUACGUGCCAGCAGCCGCGGUAAUACGUAGGGGGCAAGCGUUGUCCGGAAUUAUUGGGCGUAAAGCGCGCGCAGGCGGCUAUUUAAGUCUGGUGUUUAAACCUUGGGCUCAACCUGAGGUCGCACUGGAAACUGGGUGGCUUGAGUACAGAAGAGGAAAGUGGAAUUCCACGUGUAGCGGUGAAAUGCGUAGAUAUGUGGAGGAACACCAGUGGCGAAGGCGACUUUCUGGGCUGUAACUGACGCUGAGGCGCGAAAGCGUGGGGAGCAAACAGGAUUAGAAACCCUUGUAGUCC